CGGCUGACCGCACGGUCGGCCGUCUACCCCGGUACCUGACACGGCCGGAGAG
rnacentral:ncRNA from 1 species